UGACUGAAUCCUUCGGGAGGACGUGAGUGGAACGAGCGGCGGACGGGUGAGUAACACGUGGGCAACCUGCCUGUAAGACUGGGAUAACUCCGGGAAACCGGGGCUAAUACCGGAUAGUACUUUGGUUCAUAGGAACCGAAGUGGAAAGGUGGCGCAAGCUACCACUUACAGAUGGGCCCGCGGUGCAUUAGCUAGUUGGUGAGGUAACGGCUCACCAAGGCAACGAUGCAUAGCCGACCUGAGAGGGUGAUCGGCCACACUGGGACUGAGACACGGCCCAGACUCCUACGGGAGGCAGCAGUAGGGAAUCUUCCGCAAUGGACGAAAGUCUGACGGAGCAACGCCGCGUGAACGAAGAAGGUUUUCGGAUCGUAAAGUUCUGUUGUUAGGGAAGAACAAGUACCGUUCGAAUAGGGCGGUACCUUGACGGUACCUAUCGAGGAAGCCCCGGCUAACUACGUGCCAGCAGCCGCGGUAAUACGUAGGGGGCAAGCGUUGUCCGGAAUUAUUGGGCGUAAAGCGCGCGUAGGCGGUUUCUUAAGUCUGAUGUGAAAUCUUGCGGCUCAACCGCAAGCGGUCAUUGGAAACUGGGGAACUUGAGUACAGAAGAGGAGAGCGGAAUUCCACGUGUAGCGGUGAAAUGCGUAGAGAUGUGGAGGAACACCAGUGGCGAAGGCGGCUCUCUGGUCUGUAACUGACGCUGAGGUGCGAAAGCGUGGGGAGCGAACAGGAUUAGAUACCCUGGUAGUCCACGCCGUAAACGAUGAGUGCUAGGUGUUAGGGGGUUUCCGCCCCUUAGUGCUGCAGUUAACGCAUUAAGCACUCCGCC
rnacentral:rRNA from 1 species